GACGAACGCUGGCGGCGUGCUUAACACAUGCAAGUCGAACGGAAAGGCCCUGCUUUUGUGGGGUGCUCGAGUGGCGAACGGGUGAGUAACACGUGAGUAACCUGCCCUUGACUUUGGGAUAACUUCAGGAAACUGGGGCUAAUACCGGAUAGGAGCUCCUGCUGCAUGGUGGGGGUUGGAAAGUUUCGGCGGUUGGGGAUGGACUCGCGGCUUAUCAGCUUGUUGGUGGGGUAGUGGCUUACCAAGGCUUUGACGGGUAGCCGGCCUGAGAGGGUGACCGGCCACAUUGGGACUAAGAUACGGAGCAGACUCCAACGGGAGGCAACAGUGGGGAAUAUUGCACAAUGGGCGGAAGCCUGAUGCAGAAACGCCGCGUGCGGGAUGACGGCCUUCGGGUUGUAAACCGCUUUCGCCUGUGACGAAGCGUGAGUGACGGUAAUGGGUAAAGAAGCACCGGCUAACUACGUG
rnacentral:rRNA from 1 species